rnacentral:rRNA from 1 species
UACGUAUGGAGCAAGCGUUAUCCGGAUUUACUGGGUGUAAAGGGAGCGCAGGCGGCUUUGCAAGUCUGAUGUGAAAGGCCGGGGCUCAACCCCGGGACUGCAUUGGAAACUGUAAAGCUAGAGUGCCGGAGAGGUAAGCGGAAUUCCUAGUGUAGCGGUGAAAUGCGUAGAUAUUAGGAGGAACACCAAUGGCGAAGGCGGCUUACUGGACGGCAACUGACGCUGAGGCUCGAAAGCGUGGGGAGCAAACAGG